rnacentral:rRNA from 1 species
UGCCAGCCGCCGCGGUAAUACGAAGGGAACUAGCGUUGUUCGGAUUUACUGGGCGUAAAGAGCAUGUAGGCGGAUUGGUUAGUUGGAUGUGAAAUCCCAGAGCUCAACUCUGGAACUGCAUUCAAUACUGCCAGUCUAGAGUCUGUAAGGGGGUGGUGGAAUUUUAUGUUUAAGGGUGAUAACUGAAGAUAACAUAAAGGAAUACCUAUAGCGAAGGCAACUUUUUGGUAAAAACUGACAUUGAGGGACGAAAGUAUAGGUAGCAAACAGGAUUAGAUA